UUUGAAAAUGAACUAUUUCUGUUAAAUAAGUUCACUAAGUGAUGGACAUCACAGAAAUUUAUGUCAAACUUUUCCAUGCAACUCAGGAUAAGUAUGAUAUUCUCAACAUUUUGAUAAUUAGUUAAUUUUAACACAAAUAAGCAGUGCCAUAAAAUAGGGUUUACUAGGUUUUAUCCAUUUGUUCAAUACUUGCAUGUGGUAAUGGGUUGUGAUGGUCUUUAAUGACUGUUUACAAGAAACUCUUUCAAUUAUUUUUUCAACAUUUUUAAUUAUCAUGACCUUUAGUUUGUAAUAUUUUAUGAUUUAGAAUUCCAUUGCUUGCUCAUUGGAACCUAUAAUUGUUG
rnacentral:lncRNA from 1 species